ensembl:antisense Gm13977 predicted gene 13977
UUUAGGGGCAGGUGUCCCCAGCAACACCUCCCUGAGAUCGGAACCCAGACGCUCAUUGAAGACACUCUGCCAGCUGCGAGAAACACAGACGGCCCGUUUCGGGUCACAGGGAUGCUUUUCCAGCCUGGAGUUGGAAACCCGGAAGUGCUCUGGUGGAGCGCGGGAUUUGAAUGUGUUUUUUUCCGACACGCCCAGUUCUGCCGCUCUGAGCAGAUGGCCUGCAAAGGAGCAAGGCUCCAGUGAUGAGGUGGAAAAACUGAACCAAGAAAUCCCAUAAUUCCUCUGGUCAAAAACUUCAUUCACCCACUGGUGAGAUGGCUCUUCAGAUAAAGGUAUUUGCUACCAAGCCUGACGAACUGAGUGCUAUCCAGGACCUACAUGAUGGUGGAAGGAACCAACUUCCACUAUUUUACCUCCACUGGAGGACAGUCUCCUCACCUGUCAAGAGUCUGUCUGUCUCUUAAUGUCUCUGUCUCUCUGUGUCUCUGUCUAUCCCCCUCUUUCUCUCACACACGUGUAUCCACAUGUGCACACACACACACACACACACACACACUCACACACACACACUUCAUCCUCUAUCAUAAUCAAGGGUAAUAAAGCAAGUGGGACAGAGUUGCACUGUUUGCUGCCCAACUUUCCCAUACAAUAAUCCCUUACAAUUACUUACUCUUUUGUUUGUUUUAACCUCAUCUUAUUUUUGUUUUCUGCAGUGCUUGCUGAGAGUUUCAGGCAUGGCAAGGAAGCGUACUACACCCUGGUCCUCCAUAUUGCUUACCCUUAAUACCUUCUUGCUUGGAAAGCUCAUUCCAGGAGGUAUAGUUCCACCCUGCUGCUCAGUGCAUCUUGUGCUAGCUAACUCCUCUGUGUAGACACAGAAUGAAGUUCUUAAAUGCUAUCUGGAUGCUUUCUAUUGAUUACAGUGGUGUCUACUUUCAGACUUCACCUUCUGGUCAUUUUUCCCCCCAAGACAAGGUUUCUCUGUGUAGACUUGGCUGUUCAGGAAUUCAUUCUGUAGAUCAGGCUGGACUCAAACUGUAUGCCUCUGCCUCUCAAGUGCUGGGAUUAAAGGUGAGUGCCACCACCCCUAGGCCCCCAAAGCCACUCAUAAUGGUUCAAAUUAGGGGGCUAGAGAGAUGGCUCAGCACUUAAGAGCAUUGACUGCUCUUCCAGAGGAUCAAGGUUCAAUUCCUAGCACCCUCAUGGGAGUUUACAACUGUCUAUAACUUCAGUUCCAAAGAACCUAAGACCCUCACACAGAUAUACACGUAGGCAAAACACUAAUGCACAUAAAAAUAGUAAUAAUAGUUCAUACUAGGAAUAAUAAAAAUACUGUAGUCCUAUGGGGUUUGAUAUCUCUCUGAACUGCUGAUAAUGUUCUUAGAAUGUAAUUUGUUGUGAGUAUUUCUACUUAUAAAUACAAGAAUACUUCAGAUACAUAGAGGUUAAGAAUUUUGUUUAAAUUGCUUAGCUAAAGCUUUUCGACAUAUCAUUUGGUUUCAAUUCCCUGCUCCUUUAAAUUUUUAACUACAUUUUUUUGGCUUAAAGUUGAAAUGCAUAAUAAUAAUUUUGGAAACAAGAGGAGCACUUAGAAUGGGAUCAUGCCUUUCUGAAAUAAAGAAUUUUUGUGUUCACAAAAAUAUAAUGAAUGUAGAUUUUGAGGAAGAUAACAAAAAAUAAUAGUUAAAUAGGUUGAUGAUUAUUGAAUAUACAUUGUAUGUGUUUUAACAAUUAUAUAUUACAGAAAUAAGUUGUGUUAAUUCAGUAUUUAACAUACAUUUACCACACAUAUAUGUUAUCUUACUUACCAUUCACAGCACCCGUCUGAAAUGGAACCCAGUUUUAAAGUUGUAUCAAAUAGGUUUAAGUCAAGAUUGUAUGUAGCACAAUAGGGAUUGGAGUCACUUGAUCUCUGUAAUAUACUGUGCAGAGCUGUGGGGAGUGGAGUGGGAUUGUAGUGUGAAUGGGAUCGGAGCACUUUACCUCUAGGGACUUUCUCAAUGCAGAGGGUGGCCUUGGGUCACCAGGUUUCAAGGAGGCUCCUAGUAUCAUUUGAUCAAUGUCCCUAACUUUAUGUCUUAAUUGUUACGGCCCCAGGUGUUCUUUCCAUUCCAAAUAUAAUACUGGAGAAAACAUCUAGAAGUUAACUAUGGUGACUAUGAUGAAAAUGGAAUAGAGCCAUUCCUCUACAAAGAGAAGAACUAAUAGUAUUCCAUUGUGUAAAUGAACCACACUUUUUGUAUCCAUUCUUCUGUCUUGGGACAUCUAGGUUGUUUCCAGCUUCUGACUCUCACAAAUAAGGCUGCUAUGAACAUAGUGGAACACAUGCCCCUGUGCAUGGUGGGGCAUCUUUUGGGUAUAUUUUCAAGAGUGGUAUAGCUGAGUCUUCAGAUAGAUCUAUUUCAAAUUUUCUGAGGAACCUGCAGAUUGAUUUCCAGAGUGGUUGUACCAGUUUGCAAUCCCAUCAGCAAUGGAGGAGUGUUCCUCUUUCUCCACAUCCUCUCCAACAUGUGUUGUCACCUGAGGUUUUGAUCUUAGCCANNNNNNNNNNNNNNNNNNNNNNNNNNNNNNNNNNNNNNNNNNNNNNNNNNNNNNNNNNNNNNNNNNNNNNNNNNNNNNNNNNNNNUAGGUUGUUUGGUUUUUUGGUAAUUAACUUCUUGAGUUCUUUAUAUAUUUUGGAUAUUAGCCCUCUAUCGGAUGUGGGGUUAGUGAAAAUUUUUUUCCCAAUCUGAAGGUUGCUUAUUUAUCUUAUUGACUAUGUCCUUUGCCUUACAGAAGCUUUCCAGUUUCAUAAGGUUCCAUUAAUCAAUUGUUGAUCAUAGAGCAUGAGCCACUGGAGUUUUGUUUAGGAAAUUUUCCCCUGUGCCAAUGAGUUCAUGGUGCUUUCCCACUUUCUCUUGUAUUAGAAUAAAUGUAUCUGGUUUUAUAUUGAAGUCCUUGAUCCACUUGGACUUGAUCUUUGUACAAGGUGACAAAUAUGGGACUAUUUUUAUUCUUCUACAUACAGACAGCCAGUUAUACCAGCACCAUUUAUUGAAGAUGCUUUCUUUGUUCCACUGUAUAUUUUUGGCAUCUUUGUCAAAGAUCAAGUGACUGUAGGUGUGUGGUUAUAUUUCUUGGGUCUUCAGUUCUAUUCCAUUGAUCAACGUGUCUGUCUCUGUACCACUACCAUACAUUUUUUAUCAUUAAUGCUCUGUAACAUGAGGUCAUGGAUGGUGAUUCACCCAGCUGUUCUUUUAUUGUUAAGAAUUGUUUUCACUAUUCUGGGGUUUUUGCCUUUCCAGAUGAAUUUGAGGAUUGCUUUUUCCAUGUCUUUGAAGAAUUGUGUUGGGAUAGUUUUACAGGCAAAUGGAUGGAACUAGAAAAUAGCAUCCUGAGUGAGAUAACUCAGACCCAAAAGGACUUGCAUGGAUUACAGGGAUGGAAAUGGAGAGGAGCCUGAGGAAAAAAGGUCCAUUGGCAGGCCCAAAUCCAGCUCAAGGGGAGGUCCUAAGGCCUGACACUGAAGCUAUGGAGUGCUCACAAAAAGGUACCUAUCAUGACUGCCUUCUGAAAGACCCAACAAGCAGAGUCAGAUGCAGAUAUUUGCACCCAACCAAUUGACAGAAGCAGCUGUUGUUGAAUUAGGGAAGGCUGAAAGAAGCUGAGAAGGGCAAUCCUCUAGGAGGACCAGCAGUCUCAAUUAAUCUGGAUUCCCGAGAUCUCUCAGACACUGGACCACCAAACAGGCAGCAUACACCAGCUAAUCUGAUGCCCCCAACACACAUACAGUAGAGGACUGCCUGGUCUGUGUUCAUUCAGAGAUGACGCACCUAACCCUCAAGAGACUGGAGGCCCCAUGGAGUUUAGAGGUUAGGUGGGAGUUGGGUUGGGAAUAUCCACGUGGAGACAGGGGAGUGGGGAGGAGGUAUGGGAUGUGGAACAGUCGGAGGGUGGAUGGGGGGGGGGAGUAAGGUAUGGAGUAUAAAAAUUA